UGGGUUUGACAUACGCCGGAAAGCGCCAGAGAUGGUGCCCCUUUUUGUCGGUGUACAGGUGGUGCAUGGCUGUCGUCAGCUCGUGUCGUGAGAUGUUGGGUUAAGUCCCGCAACGAGCGCAACCCUCGUUCCAUGUUGCCAGCAUGCCCUUUGGGGUGAUGGGGACUCAUGGGAGACUGCCGGGGUCAACUCGGAGGAAGGUGGGGAUGACGUUUCCAGGUUAGG
rnacentral:misc_RNA from 1 species